rnacentral:RNase_P_RNA from 1 species
CGAGCGCAGCGGGCGGCCGCGUGAAGAUCCCCUCGGGGGCCUUCCCGAGGAACGUCCGGGCUCCACAGGGCAGGGUGGUGGCUAACGGCCACCCGGGGUGACCCGCGGGACAGUGCCACAGAAAACAGACCGCCCGGCGCUUCGGUGCCGGGUAAGGGUGAAACGGUGGUGUAAGAGACCACCAGCGCCUGAGGUGACUCAGGCGGCUAGGUAAACCCCACCCGGAGCAAGGUCAAAAGGAGAGGUCGCACGCAAGUGCGGCGUCUCUGCGCGGACGAUCGAGGGCUGCCCGCCCGAGUCCGCGGGUAGACCGCACGAGGCCGGCAGCAAUGCCGGCCCUAGAUGGAUGGCCGUCACCCCGACGACCGCGAGGUCCCGGGGAACAGAACCCGGCGUACAGCUGGGCUCGUCUG